rnacentral:rRNA from 1 species
CAGUCGCCACGGUAAUACGAAGGUCCCGAGCGUUGUUCGGAAUCACUGGGCGUAAAGGGAGCGUAGGCGGCGUGGUAAGUCAGAUGUGAAAUCCCGGGGCUCAACCCCGGAACUGCAUCCGAUACUGCCAUGCUAGAGGAUUGGAGAGGUAGCUGGAAUUCUUGGUGUAGCAGUGAAAUGCGUGGAGAUCAAGAGGAACACUCGUGGCGAAAGCGAGCUACUGGACAAUAACUGACGCUGAGGUACGAAAGCGUGGGGAGCAAACAGGAUUAGAUACCCCCGUAGUCCCUGUCUCUUAUAC